CGGGGCUCACGGCCCGGCCGCGGCGCUUGGGAGCCCUUGGGCAGCUGCGAGGGCCCCCAGCUGUGGCCGGUGCAGCUCAUCCAGCCCCCGACCACUCGUCUUAAUGGAAUGGGAUGGGCGUUUGGCCUGGCAAAAAAUUACUGUGGCGGGUUCCGGGCUCCUGAGUACAAGAGCAGCUACUGGAGAGGGGCCAGUGGAGACCCACAAAGAUGAUGGAUGAGGGUCUGGAGUCUCUCUCUGGUGAGGAGAGACUGCAGGACCUUGGCCUGUUUCGUCUGCAGCAGAGGAGAGCUCACCAAUAGAUACAAAUUUCUCAAAGAGACACCAAGACAGAUCACACCCCACAAAAAAUGCUGACAGGCACAAGGCAUAUUAUCACUCAGUCCUUACCUGGUCCCUACUGCAUAUGUUAAUACAAGUUUUUUCUCAUUUUCCUAAAACAGGUAACAGGAAGUUCAAGUCUCAGGAAAAUAAAGUAACCUCACAAAUUACA